AAACUUGUUGCCUUAGCAAAGUUGUUAUCUACGUACUUGGCCGCUUUAUUCUUAUAUUAUUUCCGUUAUCAAUUCAGGGAUCAACAAAUGUUGAAAAGCUAAUUUUUUUUUAAUUUUUAUUUGCAGAUUUAUAAGAGAUGAUGACGAGAAAUAUUUUGGCAGGUCAUUGGCGAUGUAUUGAAUCAAGUUUAAGAAUUUAGACAUAUUUUAAAAACUUUACAUUUGAUAGCAUGUGGAAAUGACAAAAACUCUAUUAUUGUGUUUUAUUUUUUGGUUGUGUUGGGUGAUUGUAUUAGGUGACAAUGCAAUGAUACU
rnacentral:lncRNA from 1 species